AGAUUUAUGACCUUCGAUCUUUUCUAAAUAGUUUCGUCGGGUAUUCCGUCUGACAUAGUGAUAUAACAUAUUUAGUUCGCUCUGUGAUUCUGAUACUAUUCGGACGUAAUGGCAGAAAAAGACAGUUGGGUGUGGGAACAUUUUAAAAAAGAAGGCAAUAAAAUACGGUGUAAAACAUGUAACGUUGGUUAUACAUUAUUUACUUCUAACAUAACUAAUAUGCAUAAAGCACACUUAUACGCACAUGGCAUAUCUAAUAAAGAAGCAGACGAAGAAUGGAAAAACGAACAAGUUAAAUCUGACUCAGUCUGGCAAUUUUUCACAAGAGGCAAACCAUAUACUGCGACAUGCAAUAUUUGUAAAAGUGUAUUGCAGCAUGCGUAUUUUGAAGAAAUUUUAAUCAAACACUAUAAAUUUCAUAAUCAAAUACACUCAACUAUUUCAGAAGUUAAAACUUCCUGGUUAUCUAAGUAUUUCAAGCUUCCCAUAAAGAAUGGGAGAAUAUAUUGUAAUCGUUGUGAAAAGACCAUAAAUGUAUUUAACAAUUUAGAAUCCCAUUUGUUCCGAUUUCAUGGCAUAUUUGAAAGUGAUGAAAUUAAGGAAAGUGCCGAAAGUACGGAAAGUACGGAAAGUGCGGAAAGUACAGAAAAUGCGGAAGGUGCGGAAAGUUUGAAAAAUAUAAAAAGUACAAAAAUUUAAAAACUAUAGGAAAUACAAUUACGGAGGAUAUGAUGACUAGGAUAUAACGAAACAAAAUCAAGUAUUAUAAUCCAACUUAUAAACAGCAAAUAAUAGCAGAGUGUCUUAUACUUUAAAUACUAAAUAAUAACUGGAUGUAAAGAAAUACCAUUUGAUUAUGAUAGACAAAAUGAGAAUUAUAUAUAAAG